GCAACCCAACCCACUGCUUUUUUACAGUUGCACAUAGAGAUAGUUUUACUCUGAUAUGCCUUACCCUGGUGCUAUAGGUUUAUGAAGAGGGAACACCUAAGGAAAAGCAGCAUAGGAUAUCUGUAUUUCUCAUUUCUUAACAUUAGGAAUCAAAGCAUUAGGAAAGCAGAAAAAUGCCUUAGGAUAAAUUAGUAAGGGAGUUCACAUUGUUUAAUUCUAAGGAUAGAAACACAUAACGCUGUAUCUUUUUUUUCAAUUCACAAGAGGUUUAACCAGCAACCGAGAAGUUUCACCAAAAGAUUGAUCAUGUUUCAGCUGUUCAGGACUUAAUGACUGUUUGCCUGACCCCUGUCAAGUCAACGGGCCCUAGAAUUGGGUGUUCCGGGCAGCCCAGCCAUGCGGGAGAGUAGAGCUGUUUCUCCUCCACACUGAGAAGAGUCAGUUGAGGUGACUCUCCUUGGUGCCUCCCUCAGAAGGUGCUCCAGGAAUGUCUUACCAGGAGAAGGUCCAGGGACAGUCCAGGACAUGAUUGAGGCACUAUGUAUCUUGGUCGGCCUGGGAGCACCUUGGGCUUCCCCCAGCAGAGCUGGAGGAGGAUUCUGUGCAGAAGGAAGUCUGGGAGUCUCUGCUGAGACUGGAUAAAGAAGUUGACGAGUAUGAGUGCAAGUACUGGUGCCUAAAAUUUUAAAUGUUACAAGAAAAUUCUAAAUUAAAAGCACAAAAAUUAUGAAACAGAUUUAAUUUGUUGUACCCAAAGGGACUUCUCUUUAUCUACUAAAGUCUCCCUCUCUUGCUCUUUUGCAGCCUUAAUUAAAAAGAUGUCUCAAAAUGCUUGGAAAAUACAAGACUCUUUAGAUUUUUUUCUAAGAUCUUUGUAUUUUGACUUCACUCAUAAAAAAAAAAUUCAAAUAAUCUCAGGCACUCUUUCUCUUAGUAAUAACUUAUACCUAGGGCAACAUGUAUCACAAGCUUUAGAUAACAAAGGAUGCUUGUAAUUUAUUUAGCAAUACAAUUUAUGAAAUGUUCCUUUUUAGGAAAAUUUGAAUCAGAAAAAUUGCAAAGUGAAUUUUGUUAAAUUUUUUAUGCUACGCCAUCAGACAUAAAGUAAGUGAUAUGGUUUAUAACUAAACAAAUUUUAUGUAGUCUCGCUUUAGUGAUAACUGAGUGCCUUUCACUAAAAUCUCACCUUCGCUAUCCAUUUCUGUUUACACAUCCCACUACUUCAUCUCAGUCUUCUCCCUCCAUCAGUGUCUUCUUGGUCUCUUUGAAUCAAAUCGGAUGAAUCACAAAAGUAUUCUACUCCUUUAUUAUUGCUAUUUAAGCAUAGUAUUAAGUUUAAGUUAUAUUAAACAUCUUUGUGUACUUUGCAUUAUUUGGUUAAUUGCUUAAAAUGUGUAAUUCAGAGAAGACUUAAAAGUCAUUUAUAAUAAAGAUUAGCUUGACACUAAACUAAACUAAAUUUUUCUUCCAGGCAGCAGAGCAGGCUAUUAACUCUCCUUUUCUAGGUGGCUGCAAAUGCAUCUAUUAUCUAGAAAAAUGUUAUAGGCUCAUAAUCAGUAGGACAUUUUUGUUAGCCUCUUAUGAUGUUUUAAAGCUCUGGGGGAAUGUACAAUAUGAUGCGUCCAGUCAUUGGAAGCAGCAAAUAACUGAUGACCAUGAGGUCCCAACAUGGGUUGGAUUUACAGCUGUUCUAUAGGUAUACAAUACUAACACACUGCAAAAGGAGUCCAUCUAACCAAAUCUCAUAAUCUUCGAUCUAGCAAAAAAAGAAAGCAGCUUUUAAAUUCCUGUUUUAACAAGUUUUUUUUGAAGACAAGCAAGAAUGUUUGGUGCAUCGCUGUAGUUUACCUUAAUCUGACCCCUGAGGUUCUUGUCAGGCACUCCUACAUAAAUCCAUGGAGGAAUAAGAAGCUGCCAAAUUUCUUACUUUAGAUGGAGAACAAUUUAAUGCUUGCCUUUCACACUUGUCUGAUCUUUAAGUUGUCCUCAUCAUGUUCCUGUCAGAGACUCAGCAGCUUUGAAAACUAAAAUUGGGUUGAAUAACAUUUUUAGAAUACUUCUUUAGUAGAUAACCAGACAGUGCAGAUCAAAGACAACUUUCUGAGAAAAAAGUCUCAACAAAAGAACCCUAAUUUUCCCUUUUAUGAUAAGGAAAACACUUACAAAGUCAUUCUAAAAUGCUCUUACAAACAAAACAACAACAAAGUUUUAAUAUACAGUAGCAUGCCUUUUAACUGCAAUGAUGCUUUUUAUCAAGCCCAAUGUGAUGUUCAGGAUGUGCAAAUUAUGUGCCGUUUGUGUCAAAAGUUGAAAUUCCCAAGGAGCAUAUUUGAGGAGAGCCAAAGAGAACAGUGGUCUCAUGGCCAUUGAGAAAACAGACAACCUUUAGGAGUCCCUCUCUGAAACAAAGCUUGUGUGUAGCUCAUUUGUUGUCUCAUUUUCUAUUUUUUAAAGGGUUAAGUUAAUUUGGUGUGCCAAUCAGAUAAAUAAACUUAUUCAAAUAUCAGAUGAAAAUAACAUUACUAAAUUGCCAUGAUCCUGUUGUGUUAGGCUUUUGAGCUCCUUUGAUCUCUGUGUUUUUUUUCUCAUUCCCCUGGUGAUCAUGUUUUAUUACUCUUGUCAUUGUUUACCUUUUUUGCUUAGGUAUUUCUUGUAUACUUGUGCAUUUAGGAUUCUUUCUAAGAUUAUUUCCACUGUUUUUGUGUUUCUCUACACAGUUACUGUGUUUAUCUCUCACCUGACCCGCAACAUGCCUUUUCUCCUACCUUCUCCCCUGUAUAUAGACUGCCUGGUUUUCCCAUUGCAUUAGUUGGUUCUUCUGAGAUUUACUUCAUUCUCAACACUCCAUACCUCUUCUUAUGUUGUCUAUUCUGCCUAGUCCUGCUCCCAUCAAGCCUGGUUGUACGUUUUUGUGCAUUGUCAUCAUCUCCUUUAUACAUAAUAUUGCUCCUGACUUCCUGUGUGCGUUUUGGUCCUGCAAAAAUGAGGCAUUGUGUCUGGUAGACCUCUACAAUCAAAAUAUACAUCACUGAUAUAUCAGUGCAUCUACAUACAUGUAUGUAUCAAAUUUUGAAAUUAAGUUGUAGUGUAUCAGGUUUUCCAUGCUCAAAUCUGUGAAGUAAGGGCAAUAAAAAUGUAUUUUGGCAACAAACACUUAGCUAAAAUUUCUUGACAGUGGUGUAAAUAUAUUUUUUAAAUGGUAGUUAAUGCCUCCAAGGAUUGCACAACCAUACUAAUAGGUUUAGUUGGGGGCUUCUAAAUCUGUAUUUCCCUGUGAUGAACUGGCGACCUGUCCAGGCUGUAACCCAUCGUUUGCCCAAAGACUGCUCAAGAUAGGUACCAGCCCCACUGCGACCCUGAAGGUGAAGCAGGAGAAGAUGGAUGGAUGGAUGCUUAGGUUGCAAUUAACUUUUCCCACAAGGCAUGUUGGGUUAGUUACGUUUUCCCCUAAAUAAAAGCAAUAUAAUUUUCAAACUGCAUAUUAUAUAUGGUUGCAUUACAAUAUCUUGUCCAGAAUUUGUAGCAAUAUCUGAAAAAUGUAGGUGCAAAGAAAACAAAGCAGGGGAGUAAUGGCCUAGUGGUUAGAGCAGUGCACUUGUGCUCUGAGAAGGUUGCAAGUACCCGGUUUGAUCCCCACAGCUGGCACUCUAGGUCCCUGAGCAAUACCCUUAACCCUACACUGCUCCCCUGGCGCCGCACAGUAGCAGUCCACUGCUCCACAAGGUGAUGGGUUAAAUUAAAGAGGUAAAUUUCUUCAAUGUGAGAUCAAUAAAGUUCAAUUAUGCUCCUAGGGGAGUGGUGGCCUAGUGGUUAGGGCAUUGUGCUUGGGUUCCAGAGGUUCUGAGUUCAAACCCCACUCCCACAGACUGCAACUCUGGCCCCCUGUGCAAGACCCUUAACCUUACACUGCUUCCCAGGCACCGUACAAUGGCAGCCCACUGCUUUCCCAGGCAAUGGGUUAAAUGCAGAGUUAGUUUUGUUUCCUUGUACUUGUGACAGUAUAAUGACAAUAAAGUAGCAUUCGAAUAAGAUAAAUGUGUUACUGUGAAAAUGUUGUUUUCGUAAAACUACCCUCUAUUUAGUAAAAAAAAAACUUCAAGCAAUUCUUUUUAACUAUAUUACUAUAUAAAAUAUCUGUGUGCUUGUUUGUGCUGAUGCAUAUAUUGACACAUCAGUAAACUUUGUUUUAAGACCCUUUGCCCAGGGGCACAUUACAUGUGACAGAAGAAACCUGGAAUCAAACCUAAAUAUUUCAGAUUGGAAAUGACAACUCCUUUCACUGAGCACUUUAUUUUUGGUUCUGUAAUCUUUGCAGUCUUACAAAAACUCAUGUAUAAUAAGAAAACUGAAUUUAGGUUUGUAUGAAAUGAUUUCAGGUCAUCUAGCUAAAGUCAAACUUAGUCGACACUUUAGCUUAAAGGGUCCCUUGGGUCAAGGGUAGCAUAGCCUGCCUUGAAUGCAUUACCAGAUCAGCAAGGGAUGUUUGGAAUGACUGUAAUAUCUCAUAUUUCUGGCCUAUAACCAAAGUGGUUAAUGCACCAUAAAAUAGAUAAUAAAAUAGAAAAAUAGAAAUCCA